rnacentral:rRNA from 1 species
GAUGAACGCUAGCGGCAGGCCUAAUACAUGCAAGUCGGACGGGAUCCAUUGAUAGCUUGCUAUCCAUGGUGAGAGUGGCGCACGGGUGCGUAACGCGUGAGCAACCUGCCUCCAUCAGGGGGAUAGCCUCUCGAAAGAGAGAUUAACACCGCAUAAUAUCAACAGUUCGCAUGUUCAGUUGAUUAAAUAUUUAUAGGAUGGAGAUGGGCUCGCGUGACAUUAGCUAGUUGGUAGGGUAACGGCUUACCAAGGCGACGAUGUCUAGGGGCUCUGAGAGGAGAAUCCCCCAGACUGGUACUGAGACACGGACCAGACUCCUACGGGAGGCAGCAGUAAGGCAUAUUGGUCAAUGGGCGGAAGCCUGAACCAGCCAUGCCGCGUGCAGGAUGACUGCGCUAUUGGUGGUAAACUGCUUUUGUCCAGGAAUAAACCUAAAUACGAGUAUUUAGCUGAAUGUACUGGAAGAAUAAGGAUCGGCUAACUCCGUG